AUUGAACGCUGGCGGCAGGCCUAACACAUGCAAGUCGAACGAGUGGCGGACGGGUGAGUAAUGUCUGGGAAACUGCCUGAUGGAGGGGGCUAACUACUGGAACCGGUAGCUAAUACCGCAUACCAUCGGAUGUGCCCAGAUGGGAUUAGCUCGUAGGUGGGGGAAAGGCUCACCUAGGCGACGAUCCCUAGCUGGUCUGAGAGGAUGACCAGCCACACUGGAACUGAGACACGGUCCAGACUCCGAAGGGAGGCAGCAGUGGGGAAUAUUGCACAAUGGGCGCAAGCCUAAUGCAGCCAUGCCGCGUGUAUGAAGAAGGCCUUCGGGUUGUAAAGUACUUUCAGCGGGGAGGCGUUACCCGCAGAAGAAGCACCGGCUAACUCCGUGCCAGCGGCCGCGGUAAUUC
rnacentral:rRNA from 1 species